UACGUAGGGUGCGAGCGUUGUCCGGAAUUAUUGGGCGUAAAGAGCUUGUAGGCGGUUUUGUCGCGUCUUGCUGUGAAAUCUCAAGGCUCAACCUUGAGCUUGCAGUGGGUACGGGCAGACUAGAGGUGUGGUAGGGGAGACUGGAAUUCCUGGUGUAGCGGUGAAAUGCGCAGAUAUCAGGAGGAACACCGGUGGCGGAGGCGGGUCACUGGGCAACAACUG
rnacentral:rRNA from 1 species